AACGCACCUUGCACCUUUGAGUAUUCUCAAAGGUAUGUCUGUUUGAGGGUUGUUUUAUCUCAUCAACUUAUUACGAAAGUAUAAGUUAUGGUUUAUGGGGUUGUAGACACUACUCCCCCGAAAUGCAUUAGCUAUAGGCAAUGAUGUUAUAAAUCAUCUCAUUAUUGUUGGCUACUAAUCAAUCUUUUUUCUACAACCUCAAAUCAGGCAGGACUACCCGCUGAACUUAA
rnacentral:misc_RNA from 1 species